rnacentral:rRNA from 1 species
AUGGUGCAGGGACGCCAGGGCCAGCGCGUCAGGCUCUACGUGCGGGGCACCAUCCUGGGCUACAAGAGGUCCAAGUCGAACCAGUACGAGAGCACGUCGCUGCUGCAGGUGGAGGGGGUGAACACCAAGGAGGACGUGUCGUACUACGCCGGCAAGCGCAUCGCCUACGUCUACAAGGCCAAGACCAAGAGCAGCGGCACCGCCGUCCGCUGCAUCUGGGGCAAGGUCACGCGCCCCCACGGCAACUCCGGCGUCGUGCGCGCGCAGUUCCGCUCCAACCUCCCCGCCACCUCCAUGGGCAAGAAGGUCCGCGUCUUCAUGUACCCCAGCAGCACCUGA